rnacentral:rRNA from 1 species
CGAUGCAUAGCCGACCUGAGCCAGGAUCCAACUCUACUGGGACUGAGACACGGCCCAGACUCCUACGGGAGGCAGCAGUAGGGAAUCUUCGGCAAUGGACGAAAGUCUGACCGAGCAACGCCGCGUGAGUGAAGAAGGUUUUCGGAUCGUAAAACUCUGUUGUUAGAGAAGAACAAGGACGUUAGUAACUGAACGUCCCCUGACGGUAUCUAACCAGAAAGCCACGGCUAACUACGUGCCAGCAGCCGCGGUAAUACGUAGGUGGCAAGCGUUGUCCGGAUUUAUUGGGCGUAAAGCGAGCGCAGGCGGUUUCUUAAGUCUGAUGUGAAAGCCCCCGGCUCAACCGGGGAGGGUCAUUGGAAACUGGGAGACUUGAGUGCAGAAGAGGAGAGUGGAAUUCCAUGUGUAGCGGUGAAAUGCGUAGAUAUA